rnacentral:rRNA from 1 species
AAUUGGAGGGCAAGUCUGGUGCCAGCAGCCGCGGUAAUUCCAGCUCCAAUAGCGUAUAUUAAAGUUGUUGCAGUUAAAAAGCUCGUAGUUGAAUUUCGGGGUCAGUAGAUUGGUCGUACCUCUGGUAUGUACUGGUCUUACUGGCUCCUCCUUCCUGAUGAACCGUAAUGCCAUUAAUUUGGUGUUGCGGGGAGACUGGACUGUUACUUUGAAAAAAUUAGAGUGUUUAAAGCAGGCUAACGCUUGAAUACAUUAGCAUGGAAUAAUGAAAUAGGACGUUCGAUCUUAUUUUGUUGGUUUCUAAGAUUGACGUAAUGAUUAAUAGGGAUAGUUGGGGGCAUUAGUAUUCAAUUGUCAGAGGUGAAAUUCUUGGAUUUAUUGAAGACUAACUACUGCGAAAGCAUUUGCCAAGGAUGUUUUCAUUAAUCAAGAACGAAAGUUAGGGGAUCGAAGACGAUCAGAUACCGUCGUAGUCUUAACCAUAAACUAUGCCGACUAGGGAUCGGAUGAUGUUAAUUUUUUAAUGACUCAUUCGGCGCCUUACGGGAAACCAAAGUGU